CCCCGGGGCCCGUCCCGCCGCCCCCGCCCGCCUACGGGAGGAGCAGUGGGGAAUAUUGCGCAAUGGGCGAAAGCCUGACGCAGCGACGCCGCGUGAGGGACGAAGGCCUUCGGGUUGUAAACCUCUUUCAGCAGGGACGAAGCGAAAGUGACGGUACCUGCAGAAGAAGCACCGGCUAAGCUACCUG
rnacentral:rRNA from 1 species